rnacentral:rRNA from 1 species
GAUGAACGCUGGCGGCGUGCCUAAUACAUGCAAGUCGAGCGAACAGACGAGGAGCUUGCUCCUCUGACGUUAGCGGCGGACGGGUGAGUAACACGUGGAUAACCUACCUAUAAGACUGGGAUAACUUCGGGAAACCGGAGCUAAUACCGGAUAAUAUAUUGAACUGCAUGGUUCAAUAGUGAAAGACGGUUUUGCUGUCACUUAUAGAUGGAUCCGCGCCGCAUUAGCUAGUUGGUAAGGUAACGGCUUACCAAGGCAACGAUGCGUAGCCGACCUGAGAGGGUGAUCGGCCACACUGGAACUGAGACACGGUCCAGACUCCUACGGGAGGCAGCAGUAGGGAAUCUUCCGCAAUGGGCGAAAGCCUGACGGAGCAACGCCGCGUGAGUGAUGAAGGUCUUCGGAUCGUAAAACUCUGUUAUUAGGGAAGAACAAAUGUGUAAGUAACUAUGCACGUCUUGACGGUACCUAAUCAGAAAGCCACAGCUAACUACGU